rnacentral:rRNA from 1 species
UACGGGGGGAGCAAGCGUUGUUCGGAUUUACUGGGCGUAAAGGGCGCGUAGGCGGUCAGCACAAGUCAGUUGUGAAAUCUCCGGGCUUAACUCGGAAAGGUCAACUGAUACUGUGCGACUAGAGUGCAGAAGGGGCAACUGGAAUUCCUGGUGUAGCGGUGAAAUGCGCAGAUAUCAGGAGAAACACCGGUGGCGAAGGCGGGUCUCUGGGCCGGUACUGACGCUAAGGCGCGAAAGCGUGGGGAGCGAACAGG